GUGGGGAAUUUUGGACAAUGGGCGCAAGCCUGAUCCAGCAAUGCCGCGUGCAGGAAGAAGGCCUUCGGGUUGUAAACUGCUUUUGUACGGAACGAAACGGUCCGGGUUAAUACCCUGGGCUAAUGACGGUACCGUAAGAAUAAGCACCGGCUAACUACGUGCCAGCAGCCGCGGUAAUACGUAGGGUGCAAGCGUUAAUCGGAAUUACUGGGCGUAAAGCGUGCGCAGGCGGUUUUGUAAGACAGGCGUGAAAUCCCCGGGCUCAACCUGGGAAUUGCGCUUGUGACUGCAAGGCUGGAGUGCGGCAGAGGGGGAUGGAAUUCCGCGUGUAGCAGUGAAAUGCGUAGAUAUGCGGAGGAACACCGAUAGCGAAGGCAAUCCCCUGGGCCUGCACUGACGCUCAUGCACGAAAGCGUGGGGAGCAAACAGGAUUAGAAACCCGAGUAGUCC
rnacentral:rRNA from 1 species